UAAACUCUCCAGUGGAAUCAGAUGGCAUC
rnacentral:piRNA from 1 species